rnacentral:rRNA from 1 species
UGAGGAAUAUUGGACAAUGGGCGCAAGCCUGAUCCAGCCAUGCCGCGUGAGUGAUGAAGGCCCUAGGGUUGUAAAGCUCUUUCGACGGGGAUGAUAAUGACAGUACCCGUAGAAGAAGCCACGGCUAAAUUCGUGCCAGCAGCCGCGGUAAUACGAAUGUGGCAAGCGUUGUUCGGAAUCACUGGGCGUAAAGAAUGCGUAGGCGGCUAAGCAAGUCAGAAGUGAAAUCCCGGAGCUCAACUUCGGAACUGCUUUUGAAACUGCUUUGCUAGAGUCCCGGAGGGGUUAGCGGAAUUCCGAGUGUAGAGGUGAAAUUCGCAGAUAUUCGGAGGAACACCAGUGGCGUAGGCGGCUAACUGGACGGGAACUGACGCUGAGGCAUGAAAGUGUGGGGAGCAAA